UACGUAGGGGGCAAGCGUUGUCCGGAAUCAUUGGGCGUAAAGAGCGUGUAGGCGGUUCAGUAAGUCUGCUGUGAAAGUCCAAGGCUCAACCUUGGGAUGCCGGUGGAUACUGCUGAGCUAGAGUACGGAAGAGGCGAGUGGAAUUCCCGGUGUAGCGGUGAAAUGCGCAGAUAUCAAGAGGAACACCUGAGGUGAAGACGGGUUGCUGGGCUGACACUGACGCUGAGGCGCGAAAGCUAGGGUAGCAAACGGG
rnacentral:rRNA from 1 species